CCCGCGGGGCCUGGCGGGGCUCAGGCUGUCGGACCCAGACGCCACUCCCGCACCUCGGUCCUCCGGGUCCCGACUCCCCUUCCCACCCCGGCCUCGAGCAUCCGGAGCCCUUCCUCCGGUUCUGGACCCCGGCCCGCACCCCUGACCGCGGACCGAGGGACCUCCCCACCCUUCCCGACCCCGAGCUUGGCCCCUGCGGACCCCGCCCGCCCCCCGGGGACCGGACUCCGGGCCGUCCGCCGCCCUGUGCCCCUGCCCGGAGAUGAGGUGGACUUGGGCGACUGAGGAGGCUCCCGCAGGACGCGGGGACCGGAGAUCGUGCCUUCUCCACGCUCAGGACCUCCGCUCCAAGUUUCUCAUUGGUUUUCUGACAGGACACGUGGACAUUCGUUUUCUCAUGUCAAAGGAGCCCCGGGAUCUUUUCAACCUAAUCGCUACAACUGAUAAAAUGCCAGAAAGUGAUCCGAGUCGCCCAGGGAUUCAAAAUGAAACCUACUCUUCAGGAUAUUCAGUACUAGCAGUGUAUUUCCCAGAAAGAACACUGCUGAAGAUCUAGCAAGAUGGUGAUUCCAUUUGUACCUUAUUACAAGAAAUGGAUUAGAAUUGCGCUUUUAAAAUGACCCGGCCUGCCCUUGAUCUGUAGGAUUUCCCACACACCAGCACGGAGAUGUCGGUUAAGGUCGUCAGCACCACGUACAAAUCAGAGCCGUGUUCUCUGCACUCGCCGCUGCCGGAGGGAGAAAGCAUGUCCGCUGUUCCAUGACCGCACUGAAAGGCACGCUGAGUUUCAGGUCAAAUACCCGUGACGUUGACGUGUCUGACUCGGCUGCCGAGCACGAUCCGUGUUAGUAUCCUCCCCGUGGUGGGCGGGAGGGCCGAGCCUCAGCGAUCAGCACAGCACACACGCCCUUCACAUUUUCUGCAAGUGUGAAAUCGAUGCCUCUGUGGGACCCCGUGGAACACGGAUCUUCUGCAUGCAACUAAACUCUACACUUGCUACGAAUAGUCGUAUUUGUAUGAUUGUGUAAGGACGUCAUCACCACCCACUGCUCUGUCUGAGGGCGUCUCUUGGUGACACGUUUCGAUAGCAUUGUUGAAAAUAGCUUUGGAUGUGUCCAUGCUUGUGACUUUUUCAGCUUUUCCUUCAUGGACUUUGAAGUUCUGUUGUUAGGAGCAUAAGUAUACGGGAUUGUUAUGUGCCCUUGUACGACCCCCUUACCUUUAUAUGCUGUCCCUCUUCUGAUAUUUUUCUUUGUUCUGAGAUCCGGUUUCUCUUAUAUUAAUAUAAGCACUCCGCGUUC